UACGUAGGGGGCGAGCGUUGUCCGGAUUUAUUGGGCGUAAAGAGCGUGUAGGCGGUUCGGUAAGUCUGCCGUGAAAACCUGAGGCUCAACCUCGGGCGUGCGGUGGAUACUGCCGGGCUAGAGGACGGUAGAGGCGAGUGGAAUUCCCGGUGUAGCGGUGAAAUGCGUAGAGCUCGGGAAGAACAUCGGUGGCGAAAGCGCUCUGCUGGACUGCAACUGACACUCAGGGACGAAAGCUAGGGGAGCGAAUGGG
rnacentral:rRNA from 1 species